CGAUGCAACGCGAAGACUUACCUGGUCUUGACAUCCCGGAGACCCUUAGGAAACUAGGGGGUGCUUCCAUCUGGAAGAAUCUGGAGACAGGUGCUGCAUGGCUGUCGUCAGCUCGUGUCGUGAGAUGUUGGGUUAAGUCCCGCAACGAGCGCAACCCUUGCCUUUAGUUGCCAGCAGUUCGGCUGGGCACUCUAAAGGGACUGCCGGUGUUAAACCGGAGGAAGGUGGGGAUGACGUCAAGUCCUCAUGGCCUUUAUGACCAGGGCUACACACGUACUACAAUGGCCGAUACAAAGGGCAGCGACACUGCGAGGUGAAGCCAAUCCCGUAAAAUCGGUACUCAGUCCGGAUUGGAGUCUGCAACUCGACUCCAUGAAGUUGGAAUCGCUAGUAAUCGUGGAUCAGCAUGCCACGGUGAAUACGUUCCCGGGCCUU
rnacentral:rRNA from 1 species